rnacentral:rRNA from 1 species
UACGUAGGGGGCGAGCGUUGUCCGGAUUCAUUGGGCGUAAAAGAGCUCGUAGGCGGUUCGGUAAGUCAGGUGUGAAAACUCCAGGCUCAACUUGGAGACGCCACCUGAUACUGUCGUGACUAGAGUCCGGUAGGGGAGCAUGGAAUUCCUGGUGUAGCGGUGAAAUGCGCAGAUAUCAGGAGGAACACCAGCGGCGAAGGCGGUGCUCUGGGCCGGAACUGACGCUGAGGAGCGAAAGCGUGGGGAGCGAACAGG